UACGUAGGGUGCGAGCGUUGUCCGGAUUUAUUGGGCGUAAAGAGCGUGUAGGCGGUUUGGUAGGUCCGCUGUGAAAACUCGAGGCUCAACCUCGAGACGUCGGUUGAAACCAUCUGGCUAGAGUCCGGAAGAGGAGUGUGGAAUUCCCGGUGUAGCGGUGAAAUGCGCAGAUAUCGGGAAGAACACCCGUGGCGAAGGCGGCACUCUGGGACGGUACUGACGCUGAGACGCGAAAGCGUGGGGAGCGAACAGG
rnacentral:rRNA from 1 species